CGUAGAACGAGAUGUGAGCCAAGACGUUGUAAAAAGAGAUUAAAUUAGUAUUUUCCUUGUCAAAUAAAUAAAUACAUACAUACAUACAUAAAUAAUACAGUCCACACAACAGUGGUUAUUGUUUGAUCAAAAUCACUUGAGUAGUCGUUGGCUAUUGGUAGAUGUAUUGGUUCAUGUCCCGUCCAUAGACCGUAUAAAAACAGGUCCCGUCCCAUACUUGGUAUUAUUAACCAUAGACUGUAAAAAUAUAUAUUGCAUCCAGCCACCAGAUGGCGACCGAAAUGGCUUCACUGCACACUUGAGUAGAGUAGUAGAGGACUCGUACUAAACUAUGCAAUCGUUAGCUACUACUAUAAGCGCCACCCGUAGUCGAUAUAGCCAACCUUUUUUUCCUGAUAUACGGGAGCGAUCUCCUCGCAAACUAAGUCAGAGCGUAUGUGGCACUGUUGAGCUCAGAAACAGGGAGGAGACUAUAGACAUCUACAGUCAACUGAACUCAACUCAUGUCAGCGCGAAAUGCUGUCAACAGGUAUCUCGUGGAUCCUCCUGCUGAUUCCCUUGAGCACAGCCAAUAGAGGUUUCACAAAGUGUAAGGGUGAUCACACUACAUUGUCCUGUCUGGACCCAAAGAAUCAUAUCGAGGGCAAAGUGGAGAUAAAUGCACUUUGGAAAAAAGAUUCUGGUGAAAGAGUGAUCUGGAACUACAACGGAGACCGCAAAAAAGGAGAUACUUUCAUGAACAGGACAGUAGAGUUGAAUGAAGAUUUAUCCCUUUACAUUGAUGGAUGUGAUCAGUCAGAUCAAGGCAUAUAUAUUCUCUGUAUUGAUGGGAAACCGAGCUGUGAAGUUACGCUAUUUGUCAGAGAACAAUCAAUUAGAAGCACUGCAUCUUCUAUGGCAAAACAAGCUACCAGAGAUGAAAAACACCUGCAAACUGAAACCAGUCUGCCUAAUACUUACAUCAGAUGGGUUAUUUAUGCCUGUUUGUGUUUGGCUGUGCUUGUGGUCUUAUUGCUGUUUAUCCGUGUUAUCCAUGCAUGCAUCCCAAAAGAGGAAACUAGUAAAAAUGACAAGUCAGGAUCUAAACUGCUCCAUAUAUAUAUAUAGAGUAACUAUGCCGGUGCAUGAUUUUAAAUUUAAUGUGGACACAACAGCAUAUCGUAAGGAUGAACAUCAGAACCGAAACGUUAGAUUUUUCAGAUUUAUGUCAGGACGUCACAUUUUCAUAAUUCUUCUGACGUCAGCAAAGAAAAGUUAUGCCCCAAUAUGCCUGAGCUACAUUUGCCCACCCUUUUUUUUGAUAUGGUGCAAAUUUUCUUUCCCUUACAGUUUGCGUUUGUAUUGUCUUUGCUUGGGGCCCCCAAGGACCAAUGAUGAAAGCAAAGGCAAUACAACUUCAAACAGUAAGGGAAAGAAAGUUUGCACAAUACCAAACAAAAGGGUGGGCAAAUGUAGUUCAGAAAUGUUGCCAAUAUGCAUCCGCUCUUAUAGAGUAGUUGUUAAAAAUAUUGAAACACUAAAUAUCUGCAUAUGUUUAACUUCACGAAUAAUAUUGUUUCUAACUUUCAAAGAAUUAUUAGACACUGUUCUAGCUCUAAAUAGCAAAGAUCAUCUGGAAUUAAUCUGGGUGGAGGCAUAUCUUUUUCCAUUUACUGGAAACUUAUGGAAUCAAGCUGUUUCAUUACAUAUUUAUAUUGUGAAAAUUGUAGAUAAUAAUGAGUGGCUGCUAUACAGCUUUUUUUUAAUAAAGAAAAUAUACAUAAAUCAAAUCCUUGAGUCCAUUUCUUUAAUUAUGAGGCCGUUUGUUGAAACUGAACCUGCUGAAUGAAGACAAGGCUUCACUGUAAAUUCUACAGCAGAAGCAUGUUUUUACUAAUGUUUUUAUAAUUUUGCAAAUGACAUUUAGGUAUUUUUCCCCAUCAGCCUGGAACAAUAAGCAUGAAGUUACCCAGUUGUUCAUUUACAAUGAGUUCAUC
rnacentral:lncRNA from 1 species